AUUGAACGCUGGCGGCAGGCUUAACACAUGCAAGUCGAACGAGUGGCGGACGGGUGAGUAAUGCUUGGGAAUCUAGCUUAUGGAUGGGGAUAACUACUGGAAACUGUAGCUAAUACCGCGUACCAUAGGAUGAGCCCAAGUGGGAUUAGCUAGUUGGUGAGGUAAAGGCUCACCGAGCCGACGAUCUCUAGCUGGGCUGAGAGGAUGAUCAGCCACAAGGGAACUGAGAAACGGCCAAGAAUCCUACGGGAGGCAGCAGUGGGGAAUAUGGCACAAUGGGCGCAAGCCUGAUGCAGCCAUGCCGCGUGUAUGAAGAAGACCUUAGGGUUGGAAAGUACUUUCAGCGGGGAGGCGUUACCCGCAGAAGAAGAACCGGCUAACGCCGUGCCAGCAGCCGCGGUAAUUC
rnacentral:rRNA from 1 species